GGUGGAGGUGUUCACUUCAGGUGGUCUAGCUGCUAGAUUAUAUUCGAAGAAAUCAUAAUCAGAAAAUACCUUCUUAUCUAGCUAGAGUACGAGUUUGUUGCUGGUUAUUGUUGUCGUAGCCACUUCCUUGGGUAUGGUGCUGCUCAUCACAGGUGUAGGUGUGGGUGUGGGCAGAAGCCAGAAAUAUUUGCAGACUACAUUAAAAGAUAAUAUUCAUCGCCUGUCUCCAGUAUUAGGGACAUAAUUCUCUUCUAUGAUGAAGCAUUUAAGGAUGCAAACAUAUAUGUAGGAAAGUAGGUAACAUUUGGGUUUCAACUGGCUUGAUGAUCAAUAUAUAUACUCUGCACGAAUACUACUACAUAAAACCAAGCUAGCCUUUUUCAUUUUCUUUUGUCAUAUAUAUAAGCAGCAUUGUUAUUGGUUUAUCACCAAGUUAGAGAGCCUUGGUAUAACUAGUUAACCAAGGGUGAUUCUUUUUCCAUGUAUCUUAAUAAUUUGUUUCCUAACA